CUACGUAAUCGUUUAAAUUCGUUAUAAUAAAACAUAAUAUUUCUAUUACUUUGUAGCCAUUUUUUCCUAAAGUACCUUUUGGUCUUAAGAUUGUAUUUAAUUUCAGGAGUAAACCAUAUCGGAUAACUAGACUUUUGUCUACGUUUUUUCGGAACAUACAAAUCAAAUAGUUGAUAGAUAACCGAGUAAAAUGACUCAAUAGCUUCAUUGACAUUGGAAAAGUCAUUUAGAAAAGACCAGUUGAUAUCACAAAAUGCAUUAUAUAAUAAAGGAAAAUUAGCUUUGUGAAAGUUAUAGACUAAGCUAUUGUUACAAGGAAAAGAAGGAUAAUUUAGGUUUUUUGUUACUUGUAGAGAGAUAGAUAUUGAAGGAUGAUGGAAGUCUUCGAACACUAAUGGAAAGUCACACUUAGUGACGUUUAGGUUCAUCUCACUGGAAGAAAAUACAAGAUCCAAAAGAUUGUUGUUAGGGUUCAUUACUGAGUUAUGCUGAAUAGCGUCAAGGACAUUUAUGAAGUUGUGAAAAACCUGCGAUUUUCGUGAUUCGUUUGUUUUCCCGAAAUCAGCAGAAAACAGAUUAACCUUUAUUGGACGUGAUCGAACUGUAUUGGAAGCAUCAUAUUUUCCCAACCUAACCGGCUUGAUUUGUUGAGUUGCUGAUGAGCCCAAAUUGUUCAAUAUAUCCGAGAUCAAGGCACAGUCUAAGUCAGAUUGUUCUUUCUUGGACGAACCAGCUUCCGUUACACCAUAAAUAAGUAAGUUAGAAGACCUUUUAUUUCUUUCAGAUAUUUCAGAAAUAAUUUCUUCCAUGACCAUAGGAGAGAGUGAAGUAUUAGAACGAACCGGGUUAGAAAUGUUUUCAAUCUUUUCGUUUAACUUAUUGAUCUCUUGUUUCAAGUCAGUAACUAGCGAGAGAAUUUUUGGAAGCUGAUGCAACCCCUGUUCACAGUCCAUACAAAAUAUAUUUAAAUCUACGCUUAGAAUUUGGCCUUAACUCAAAACAUUUAAUUUCAGCAGCCGAGAGAUCUGAGCAAUUUACAUGUACCGGUCUUUCACAACCAUCGCAUUUGAUAAAUGAUUUAGUUUGAUUUUCAUUGACCGGAUCUUUACAUUUUAAACAAGAAAAAGGCAUUUUGAAAAAUUAAAUGCUAAAUAAAUAAAUAAUUCAAAUAAUCAAGAGUAAGAAAAAGUAAGAAAAAGU